AGCAUCGGAGGCCCACAUACCCAAGGAGGGUCCAUUGGACCUCCAAUCAACCCUGUUGACUCAGGAAAGAAAACAGGAUCGUCAGAUCUGUAGAUUUGUCUCGGUCCCUCGAUUCGAAGGGUGGAAAGCACAAAACACAAAAAGGCCAAAGGUGGAGGAUCACACAAGAUCCGAUGAAGAGGUCACUUGGCCUGUGACAAGUGUCCAUGGAAGAGACACUUGCCGUCACAAUGGAAGGUCCAAACCCCACACUUAAAAACACGAAGACCUCUCAAACCCUCCUUAUUUUGCAUUAGCUAUCUCUUUCUUCAUUUAAACAAAUGCUCUACACUUGGAGCUUACCGGAGUCCUCGAACUCGCCGGAGAAGGUGGUGGCGCACGGUGGCCACCGCCGUAUUCUCCGACCACCACCCAGAAACCCAAACGAACAACACAAACCCCCGCUUAUUUUGGCCCGUGAUUACGAAUCCGGCCUCAAAACAACCAAAGUCCCACCCAAAACUCCAGAUCAGAAACCCUAAAACAAAAACCCUAACCCAAACAAAAUGAAUUAAAAUCCACAAUCAAGGGCAAAUCGAGCAAUUACUAGAGGAACAAGGAUCAACAAAAGGAGUUCUACACCAUAACAAUUUCAAAAAGGCGAGAAGAUCUCAAAAUAACCUAAUCAGAGUGAAUCCGACGUGAUUCUGGAAACAACUCAAAGAUGACUUGGAGCUUGAAGAAAAAAUAAGGUUUGGCUUGAUGCCAACAUGUGGGUGACACGAGGUCUUUACAAGUUGGGGCUAGGAAUUAUCAUAAAGUAGAAGGCGAGAGAAAACACGAUGCUCCAAGGAGAAAGGCUGGCUUGAUACAUCUUCAAACUUGAAGAUUUUUAAUUUUCUUUGUAUUGGGACUCUAUGGAAUAGAUAAAACACCUUAUUUGUAAAAUAAUUUUUAAAUGUAACACUUUUUGAAUUAUGUACUAAUAGUAACAAUGCUCAUGUAAUGCCUACCUUUAUUCAAUGAAACAAAAUCCCCCUUUUUUUACUGCAA